ensembl:lncRNA
ACAAGUAUUUGCUCUAAAAGAUAUAUUUACAACAUCUCUGUAUUCUAUAGGUUUCUUCAUAGAGACACCUUCCAGUUCAAUAACUUUCCAAAGGAGGCUCAUACCGAUACAAAACAAUUUGCUAAAUAAUUAUGUGACUUUGUAGAACAUAUCAGAAGUCUUACAAGUACAAGUAUUAGCUCUAAAUGAUACAUUUCCAACAUCCAUGUAUUAUAUAUAUAGAGAGAGAGAUACAAUUAUAUUUAUGAACCGUACAGAAUAUUGUACUAAGCAUUAAAUCUGAACUUGGAAUUUUUAAUUUUAAAGGAAAACGUCUCAGGUUACGAAUGUAACCAUGGUUCCCUGAGUAGGGAACGAGACACUGCGUCCUCUAGGGGUCGCUAUGGGGAACACCUCGUCGUGACCCGUGUCUGAAGCAUACAAAUGAAAAAACACCAACGAGUUGGCCGGCGACAGCCUCUGACGUCACUACCGGUGCGACUAUNCUAGCAAGGUGCACCUCAUAAAGUGGCCAGUGAGUGUAUGUGUACUGUAUGUGUGUGCUGUAUUGCAUGGAGAUUAUGUGCCACUACUGGAAAAGUUUGGCCAAAGACAUUUUACUGGCAUCAGGUAUAAAGCACUUUGAACAAACAGUUUAUUUCCAUGUUAGACACACAGAGAUUACUUAUAAUCCCGUCUACAUUCUAAUAACUGCAGUGUUAAAACAGGUGUACUGCUCUGUAUGUGGAAAAUCAGAAAAAGGCCAAACAGAGGACCAAAGCACCUGGGUAUUCACUAUGCCAUUUCUGCCUGUUGACUACAUAUAUUCAAUGUGAAUCAUGCAAGAGGUGGGUUAAUGUUUGGUGCCUCAACAUUAAUGUGCCACCAGAACAACAAGCAUGGAUUUGUGAUUGGUGUUAGUAAGCUCUUAUAGGAGCUUAUGCUGAAAGUGUGUUUAAACAGCAAGAAAUGUGUCUUGCGAUUUUAUGUUAUGGAAUUAUUUUGUAGUGUUUGGUUUAUGUUUGAUAUUGGUCUAUUGGUGUAUGCAAAUUUCCAAUGUGCUUAUGUUUUGUUCUUUUUCAUAUUCAUUAAUACAACAUAUUCCUUAUGAGUUUAGGCAGAAUAAUCACAGUAUAAUCAUUCCGAGUAAUUUCUUUGGCAUUGUAUUCAUAUUACUGUCUUACAUUAUUUAUAUACUUAGUUACUCAAGGAUUACUCAUUUAUAUUAUUUAUAUUCUUCAGCUGACAUAUAAAAGGUACAUUUUCUUAUGAUUAAGUAAUGUUUGAACAGGAUGUUGGAAAUGUAAUCUAUGAGAUUUUUUUUAUAUGCAAGGAUGUACUAAGUGCACUAUUUUAAGAGCUGUUAUUUGUUGCUAAUUGAUAUUUGAAUAUUGCAAGCUCUGCUUAUUUUUUUUUCAAAGGAUAAGAAACCACAGUCGCAUCUGUAUUUUUAACUGAGCUUAUCUAUAUCACCUCAUUGUCAUGUCAUACUGAACCAUCUGUGACUUUUGACUUAGUAGGACGUAAUGUAGAAAAACAUUUUACAAUUACCAAUCAGACAAAAAUUGUGUGGUGUAGUCAGAUGAUGUAACUAA